UACUUGAAACAACUGAAACUUGAAAGAAGAGGAAUGGAAUCCUGAAACUGAAUAAUGGAUGCUGAAAAUAAUUCAGGAAGGUCAUUCUGUCAUUUAAAGGUCAUCUUCAUCCACUUUUUCCAGCAAGCUGUCAUCUCUUUAGUAUUUACAACAGCUACAGGAGAUAUUUUACACUUAUUUGUCAAUUGCUCUUCUCAUAAGAGGGCAGGAUCAUUCAGGCUGGAAGGAACCUCAUGAUGCUGAAAAAUUCUACGGGCAGAGGCUGCAUAGCUCCUCUGGGCAGCCUGUACACUAAGGAAUAAAUGGCUUAUGAAGAUGCA
rnacentral:lncRNA from 1 species